rnacentral:rRNA from 1 species
CCCCCCUUUGUUUCAAAAACAUAGCUUUAAGUUUAUAUUUAAGGUAUCUUCUGCUAAUUGACAAUGUUAAAAUGCCGCAGUACCCUGACUGUGCAAAGGUAGCGUAAUUCUUGUUCUCUUAAUUAGAGAUCUGUUCAAAGAAUGAUAUGUAGAAAAUUCUUGUUCUUAAUAGUGUGUUUAAUUUGAAUUAUGAGUGAAAAUUCUCAUUUACCAGUAAAAGACGAGAAGACCCCUAUAAAACUUAAUUUACGUUUAAUUCUCUUAGAUUAUAAAUUUAAAUGGGGACUUUAGAGUAAAACUAUAACUCUUUGACCUUUAUAUUGAUUAUGUGUGAAGCUACUUUAGGGAUAACAGGGUAAUAUAUUAGGAGAGUUCUUAUCGAUUAAUGUGCCUACUACCUCGAUGUUGGAUUAUUCUUUCUAGUGUGUUGCAGCAGCAUAUUAAGUUAGACUGUUCGUCUAUUAAAAGAUUACAUGAUCUGAGUUAAACCCCGGAGG